rnacentral:lncRNA from 1 species
GGGAAUCGUGAAUGGUUCGGUCAAGGAACUGUGAUAAUCAUUACAACUAGAGAUGUUAAUGUACUGAACCUACUCAAAGUUGAUUAUGUUUAUAAAAUGGAUCAUAUGAACGAAAAUGAGUCCCUUGAGCUUUUUAGUUGGCAUGCCUUUGGAGAAGCAAAACCAAGAAAAGACUUUAAUGAACUUGCAAGACACACAGUUGCUUAUUGUGGAGGACUACCACAAGCUCUUACUAUCCUUGGUUCCUUUUUAUGUGAUAAGACAAUGAAAGAGUGGGAAAGUGCAUCGUCAAAACUAAAAAGAAUUCCCAUGGAUCAAGUUCAAAACAUAUUGAAAAUAAUAUUUGACGGUUUACGCAAUCACAUGGAAAAGGAUGUAUUUCUUGAUAUAUGUUUUUCCUUUUCGUCAGAGAGAGGCUAUGUCACAGAUACUAAAUGACUGUGGACUACAUGCUGAUAUUGGAACAGUUCUCAUAGAACGUGGUUUUAUAAAAGUUGAAAGGAACAACAAACUUGAAAUGUAUCCUUUGUUACGAGACAUGGGAAGAUAAAUUAUUCGUCAAAGUUGGUCAAAGGGAGUCGAUUAUUGUUUCAGGAUCAUAUAAAAGAUGCACUGAAAGAGAAUACUGUAAGAACAUUCUUUAUAAGAUUUUUAAAUUGAAAGUGUUUUAUUUUUUAAAGUGCAAUGGAUGUCUUGGUUUUCUGUUAUGCUCAGCGUUAAGUAUUUGACAAAGAAACACUUUGAAAUCCAAAGUGGACUUUGACUGGAUACACUUUUGACAAACAUAAUUUCAAAUAAAUAUAUGGAUAAGGGCAACAUGAGAGGAAGUACAUCAUUUUGGUCAGUUCUAUUUAAUAAACUUUUAAAUGUUAGUUUGUGGGUUUUAAAAUUAGAAGUUACUAAAAAAAUAAAAGAAUGAGAGUUUUGAUAGAUGAAAGGUCAAAAGUUGUGAGUGAGAUUUUAUUAUGUUAUUAGUGGGGUUUUAAGACCAUAAUGAGAUUUUAUUAUUUUCUCUUCUAGAAGAGCUUUCUAAAGCCUAUAAAUAGGAUGUACUCUCAGUUGUAAGAUGAACCACAAAAAAGAAAUACAAUAGAGACAAGAAGAAGAGUGUCUCUUUAGAGAAAACAGAGUGUGAGUGUUAACUUUAGCAUUUGGUUGUUUUUACAAUUUGGUAUAUCUAGAGCCAAUGGAAAAUGUGACAGGUCAAAUAUCGCUACCACGAUUAAUGAAGGCGACCAAAUAUGAUAACUGGAUAAUGCAAAUGAAAGCGCUUCUAUGUUCUCAAGAUGCAUGGGAGGUGGUUGAAGAAGAUUUCGAAGAACCAACAGAUACGACGGCUCAAACCAAGGCGUUGAAAGAGACACGAUCAAAGGAUAAAGCGACACUAUACAUGUUGUUUUGAGCGCUUGAUGAGUCGGGCUUUGAGAAGAUUGUCAAUGCAACUACUUCAAAAGAAGUGUGGGACAUCUUAAAAAAGGUUUUCAAAGGAGCCGAGCAAGUUAAGCAAGUGUGUCUACAAACUCUUCGUGGCUAGUUGGAGAGCAUCAAUAUGGUGGAGUCAGAAAUUGUAUCUGACUACAUCACGCGUGUACAAAUUGUGGGGAAUCAACUCAAUCGAAACGGUGAAAAGUUGACCGAUGCACGAGUUGUGGAGAAGAUUUUGAGAACAUUAAUCGACAAUUUUGAGAGUAUUGUGUGCACAAUAGAAUAGUCAACUGACUUAACGACGCUCACAAAUGUCACAAAUAUGGUCACUAUGCGAAGGAUUGCAACUGCGACAAAUGUUAUAAUUGUGGUAAAGUGGGGCAUUUUGCAAAAUAUUAUCGAGCCGAUAUAAAGAUAGAAGAGACAACCAACCUAGCCUUGGAAGACAAAACGAAUGAAGGUGUUCUCUUGAUGGCUCAAAAUGAAGUCAACAUUAAUAGUGACACUCUGUGGUACCUUGACCUGGGAGCAAGCAACCAUAUGUGCGGUCACGGGUACCUAUUCAAAGAUAUACAAAGGAUUGAAGAUGGUCAUGUGUCGUUUGGAGAUGCAUCAAAGGUGGAGGUCAAAAGUUGAGGGACGGUUUGCUACUUACAAAAUGAUGGCUUAAUUGGGUCACUCUGAUAUAACCCAAAUAGUAAAAAAGAUGACCAAGGACACAAGAGACAAUUCACAUUGUGAGUAGUCAUCUCAGCAAUCAAGUCAAGGCUUCACCAAAUAUUAGAUGAACCUUGCUAAAAGAAGAACUUUGCAUAGACCAGAACAUCAAUUGUUCCUUCUUCUGGUCUUCUUAAAGGACAACACACAUGUUUGUAAAUAAAUUGGGCACACUUUGGAGGCCCAAAUAGCAAAAUAGGCUAGAGUAGGUUCACAUAGCAUAAAAUGGAGUGUACUUGGCGAAAUGAACUUGUACCUAGAAUUAGGGCUUUUAACCUAUCUUCUAGAAGCUAUGUCUAAAGGUGUGGUUUUGACCAUGGUCAACACCCUAGGCAGCUCCUCUCCCUUGCCUUUUCUACCCUUAACCCAUCUUGCCCACCAAGGCACCACAUCCGUAAAUAGGGUGUCUUUCCUCAUGUAUUUUGACAUAGAAUUUGAAUAGUAAAGAAAAUCUGUUUGAGUGAUUAGUGAGCUUUGUCUCCUAAAUAUUUUGGUUCUUAUCUUGAAUGUGUGAGCAUUUCAAGUGGCAGAUCUUCCUCACUUAUCUUGGAGUUCCCACACCUCCAAGUGGCGUGUUCAUUCAUUCCCUUCACCAUAAGCUUUCCUAUCCUUAAAAUAUGAAACUAUAGAAUAUUCAACAACAUUUUUUUCUUAAAAAAACUCCUUAUCAAAUAACCAAAUCAAAAUAUUACAUAACUUAUUACCCAUCAAUGCACAAUUUUGGAUCAAAUUAAACUAUACUUAAAUAAUUAAUUAAAUAUUACUAUUUACGUAAACUAGUAUCAUAUAUGUUAAAAAAACUUAUUUAAUCCAUGUAUGGAAUUAAAAUAAUAACUUACAAAGAAUUCGGGUUAAGUUGACACGACUUUAAUUUAAAACUAAUUACAAAUAAGUCAUGUUAGGGUGACACAAUUUUAAUGUAAUCAAUUUCGGUGUAAACUGAAGUCGUAACACCUAAACGUGACUUUACUUAAUUUAAAAAAAAAUAAAAAAUUCGUAAUUAAAGUAGAAUGUCAUCGUAGCAUAACUUCAUCUUUAGAACUAAAGUCACAUCACCUUAACACAGCAUCUCUUAAACAUGACAUUGCAUGACUUUUUCACAUCUUAAACAUACAUUGCAUGACUUUUUCGCGGACACGAUUUAUCCUACGUCGUAUUUUUUUUAAAACCAAGCCUAUUUUAAUAAAAUAACGAGGCAACAUUACUCAACUUUAAUAUAAAAACCUUAAAAUGGGUAGCAGUCUGUUAGCUAACAGAAGUAGUUUUUCACGUAAUGAAAUCAAUGAUAAACUCCUUGUCACCGCGUUACAAGAAACCUAAACAAAAAAAUGUAUGAAAAAAUGACCUAACAAACGAAGAUAAACCUUCUAAUAAAAAAUUAAUGUCUUCUGGAAAUAUAUUUUUACUUGAGCUAAGCACUUUAAUCAAUAAAAGAUAUUUAUGGAAUUUAAUGUAGAGUGAACGUGGGUGGGUCGUACGGCACUUCAAGACUACAUAUAAAAAAUAUUAAUCUUUGCAGCACUAACCUGUUUUUUUUUUUAAUAUAAUUCUCUUUUCUCCAACUCUUUUUUAUUCUUAAAACAAAAGUUAAGUGUUUUAUGGUACUUGAACUUUGUUUUCAUCAACACUUUUUGUUUUAUUUUAGCUUAUAAUUUGUUAUGUAAAUUUUGAUACAAAAUAUUUAUAUAGGUGUCAGACUAAAAACUCUUAUAUAGGUUUUUUUAUCAUGAAAUUUCUUUAUUUUAGAAUCGAGAUGAGAUGAUAAGUCCAUAAACAACUGUAAUUUUAACAUCUUUAACAUUGUUGCUUUACCUUUGAAGAGUUUACUUCAAUUCCUUUGAUGCAGAUCUCUUCUUCGUCUUCAUCAUCUUCAUCCUUCUUAAAAUCAGAACCCCAGUUCAGAUACGAUGUGUUCAUCAACUUUUGGGGAGCAGACAUCGGUAGAAAGUUGGUUUCUCAUCUCCAUUCUGUCCUUUUACAAGCUCAAGUCAAAACUUUGAUUAAGGAGGAGAAUCUGCAGGAGGGAAUGGAGCUGGAAGAACACAUGCGAGCAAUAGCAGCCACUAAGAUUGCAAUAAUCGUUUUCUCCAAAUCAUACACUGAAUCUACCUGCUGUCUUUUUCAGCUUGAAAAAAUCAUUGAAUGCUUCGAAACAUUUGGUCAAAUAAUUCUUCCCAUAUUUUACGAGGUUGACCCAUUGAAUUUAAGUUAUCAGGUUGAUUUCGGUUUCGGAAAUGCGUGUGAAGAAUUAAUUGACCACAAAAGCUAUCCAUUAAUGUUCAGGUGGAGACGUGCACUCAACACAGCGGCAGGUAUCAGUGGUUUGGAUGUCAGAGAUUUCAGGUAAACAAAAGAAUUCUUGGUACUUUUUUCUGUUUGAGACUGAAUGAAGCAUAUGUUAAGAAUGUGAUUUACUUUUGGUAACCCUUCAUUUUCAAGGCAUGAUGCUGAACUUGUGGAGAAAGUUGUUUUCCGCGUUUUUGAAUUGCUGGACUAUAAAGACUUCUCUAUUACCCAAUUUCCUGUUGGAUUAGAGUGGCACGUGGAAAAGGUGAUUGGAUGUAUUGAAAAUCAUUCCACCAAAGUGUGUAUGAUAGGGAUAUGGGGAAUGGGAGGGUCAGGUAAAACUACCUUAGCCAAAGCCAUCUAUAAUCGAAUUUAUCCUCCAUUCAUUGGUAAGAGUUUUAUGGAAAAUAUUAGAGAAGUUUGGGAUCCAGCAGGGCAUGUUGAUUUGCAGACCAUGCAACUCAAGGUCGAGGUGGGAAGCGUUGGGAUGGGAAAAACUAUGCUCGAGAAUGGACUUUCUAGAAAAAGGGUGCUGAUUGUGCUUGAUGAUGUGAAUAAGUUUGACCAAUUAGAAAAACUAAGCUGGAAUCGUGAUUGGUUCGGUCAAGGAACUGUGAUAAUCAUUACAACUAGAGAUGUUCAUCUACUGAACCGACUCAAAGUUGAUUAUGUUUAUAAAAUGGAUGUUAUGAAUGAAAAUGAGUCCCUUGAGCUUUUUAGUUGGCAUGCCUUUAGAAAAGCAAAACCAAGAGAAGAUUUUAAUGAACUUGCAAGAAACAUGGUUGCUUAUUGUAG